GCGCACGGCACCACAGCAAGUGCGCCGCCUACAUAAGGGGCGCAGGCGCACGCCACCGGCAUCUCGUCGCAGGACGCCGCUGAAUACUCGCCGCAACCGCUGAAGCCGCCUACUUGUACCAAACAUGCCUGACCCGUGCUGCGGAACCGGAGGCACUUGCCAGGGAGCCGGCUGCAAGUGCGGAGCUUCUUGUACGUGCACCAACUGCGCGUGUGGCACCAAGGGCUCCUCCACAACCUCCAAGUGAGCUAGCUGGCCACGGUCGCUCAACCAAGGUGUGAAGACCCUGUUCUUCGACCUUCACCACACAUCAUCCCUUGUGUAUUAACAUAUUAGCAUAGCAUGUGAUCACCAAAAAUAAAGUAUUUAAUGUUUAAACAUA